UACGAGGGGGGCGAACGUUGUUCGGAAUUAUUGGGCGUAAAGGGUGCGUAGGCGGUUUGGUAAGUCUGAUGUGAAAUCUAUGGGCUCAACUCAUAGUCUGCAUGAGAAACUGCCGGGCUUGAGUGUGGGAGAGGUGAGUGGAAUUCCUGGUGUAGCGGUGAAAUGCGUAGAUAUCUGGAGGAACACCGGUGGCGAAGGCGGCAUUCUGGACUGUAACUGACACUUAGGAACGAAAGCCAGGGGAGCAAACGGG
rnacentral:rRNA from 1 species